GAUGAACGCUGGCGGCGUGCCUAAUACAUGCAAGUCGAACGGGGAGUAUUAAUUUCGAUUUUUACUCCUAGUGGCGAACGGGUGAGUAACGCGUUGGUGACCUGCCCCGAAGAGGGGGAUAACUCCGCGAAAGCGGAGCUAAUACCCCAUGUGGUCUUUCAGGUUAGAGGCUGGACGACUAAAGGAGCAAUCCACUUCGGGACGGGGCCUGCGUCCCAUCAGCUAGUUGGUAGGGUAACGGCCUACCAAGGCGAUGACGGGUAGGGGGCCUGAGAGGGUCGGCCCCCCACACUGGCACUGAAACACGGGCCAGACACCUACGGGUGGCAGCAGUAGGGAAUAUUGCACAAUGGGCGAAAGCCUGAUGCAGCAACGCCGCGUGCGCGAAGAAGGCCUUCGGGUUGUAAAGCGCUUUUCUGGAGGAAGAGGAAGGACGGUACUCCAGGAAUAAGGAUCGGCUAACUACGUG
rnacentral:rRNA from 1 species